AUUAUGAGUGUGACAGGCUGUGCUCAGGGAACCAUAGCGCUCCAGAGCUGUUUGGGAGAUUUUCUCCUGGCUGGGAAAUACUUUUUGAAAGUCACUUUCUCCACUAGAAGAUAUAUCAGCAUGCUUCUGCCAUUGUUGCUAGCUGUUUGGAACAUUAUUGCUCUGGACUGUGAGUGUCAGCAGAAGCUAUUAAUGGAAAAAUGGCAAAAUGUAUGA
rnacentral:lncRNA from 1 species